AUCCAACAAUUGGAAAUAAGAACAAAACAUUCUCUAUAAGUGUAUGGAAAUCACUCCCUAGCAGACACGUUUUAAAAACCUUAAGGGGAAGCCAGAAAGAGAAAACUCA